UACAGAGGUGGCAAGCGUUGUUCGGAAUUACUGGGCGUAAAGGGCGCGUAGGCGGCUUGGUCAGUCCCGUGUGAAAUCCCUCGGCUUAACCGGGGAACUGCGUCUGAUACUGGAUGGCUUGAGUUUGGGAGAGGGAUGCGGAAUUCCAGGUGUAGCGGUGAAAUGCGUAGAUAUCUGGAGGAACACCGGUGGCGAAGGCGGCAUCCUGGACCAACACUGACGCUGAGUGAGCGAAAGCCAGGGGAGCAAACGGG
rnacentral:rRNA from 1 species